rnacentral:tRNA from 1 species
GCCCAGAUGGCGGAAUUGGUAGACGCGCUCGACUCAAAAUCGAGUUCCGCAAGGAGUGCUGGUUCGAUCCCGGCUAGGGGCACCA